rnacentral:tmRNA from 1 species
CUAUAUAUGGGGUGCCGGCUUGCCGGCUAUGGCGAUAAACGCCCUACGGAAUAAGCGUAGCGGACCCGGGGGCAGUGCCCGGCGCCUCCACCAUUUCAUUGACUAGUUUCCGCGGGCUCGCGGUACGGAAUGGGGGCGAAACAGGAUCGACGCGCGUAGUAAAGGUACGGGUUUUUGCUCGGCAUGGCACCACCGUUACCGGGGCCAAAAGCAAUAGUUGCCAACGACAACUUUGCUCCGGUGCGUGCCGCCGCUUAAUGCGGUCGCAUAAACCGGGUUUUUAAGCCCUCGGUCCUAAGCCGGCCGAGGCGGGGUUUGGGGGGCACCUGGCAACAGAAGCCCCCUAUUU